CCGUUCGUGUAAAUAGAGGUAAUUUGUGUUGUAAACUUGGGAUUCAUUUUAUUGAUCAAUAUUUUUUGUUAAAUCUUUUGUAAUAGCGUAUCGGAAGAUCUAAUUGAUUUUACAGUACAGUUAGUGUGUCGCCGGUCGUUAAAAUUGCCUGGCCGAUUUGUCUUAUUUUAGAAGGCCGGCCAACCAGCCUGCCCGAUAUUUACUUGCAGAAAUCCAAUCGUAAACUUUCCAUUUUUGUGUGUUUAUCCAAGCGAGGCGUUGAUGAACGAACUCUUUCAAUAUGUUUAAAGGUUUGUUUGGGAAAGUUUGAUAAUCAUUUCGUCUUUA
rnacentral:lncRNA from 1 species